GGAACUCCAGUGUGAACUUGAGUCAAAGGGACUGUGUGACCUGUGGAUGAGUCCAUGUGGGAGCAGGACACCCAAAGCCCCUGCAGCUGUGACUAAGUCCAUGCCUGAGCAGUAGAAUAUCUGGUUUGAAAGAAUGUGCAUCCAAUUGUGCCCACAUGGACAAAUGGCAAAGAAAAAUGUGGACUAUGCCUAACAUGCAAAAGCUUUCAGAGGCAAACCGUUAACACCUUGAGUCAAAAACAAUCAAACCAGAGCUGGGCCAUGCUGUCCUGGACACAAGUACAUGACAAGAUGAGCUCAUCAUGU